UGGAAGAGCCGGAUCAGGAAAACUACAAGAAGCUGAUGGAAUUUGCAGUUUAAGUAGAUUUUGGGGUGGUCUGGGACAGUGGGUAGAGUGUGAAAUGUGAGUGCGUGUGUGUGUGUGUAGUAUUUCUGGGUGGAGGAUAGUGGGCGCUGAAGACCCAUGGGUCUCUGCUGAUUUCGGAGUGCAUCUGAGGCCUGUCACUCAAACAGAGGUCCCUCCCUCAGUGACUGAGCCAAUGAUUAGGGCCUCACGACCGCCCCUGCCCCACCCCCAGCACCCCGUCUCGACCAGGGGCCUCAGCUCUGAGCAGGCCCUUGGAGUCUGAUCUAG
rnacentral:scRNA from 1 species